rnacentral:rRNA from 1 species
UCCGUUUGAUCCCGGCAGAGGAUGAACGCUGGCGGCGUGCCUAACACAUGCAAGUCGAACGAAGCACUUUCCUUGGAGAUUCGUCGAAGAGGGAUUUGACUUAGUGGCGGACGGGUGAGUAAUGUAUGAGCAACCUGCCUUUCGGAGGGGGACAACAGUUGGAAACGACUGCUAAUACCGCAUAAUGUAUCGAGGGGGCAUCCCUUUGAUACCAAAGGAGCAAUCCGCCGAAAGAUGGGCUCAUAUCUGAUUAGUUAGUUGGUGGGGUAACGGCUCACCAAGACUGCGAUCAGUAGCCGGACUGAGAGGUUGAACGGCCACAUUGGGACUGAGAUACGGCCCAGACUCCUACGGGAGGCAGCAGUGGGGAAUAUUGGGCAAUGGGCGAAAGCCUGACCCAGCAACGCCGCGUGAAGGAAGAAGGUCCUCGGAUUGUAAACUUCUUUUAUGAGGGACGAAGGAUGUGACGGUACCUCAUGAAUAAGCCACGGCUAACUACGUGCCAGCAGCCGCGGUAAUACGUAGGUGGCAAGCGUUAUCCGGAUUUACUGGGUGUAAAGGGCGCGUAGGCGGGGAUGCAAGUCAGAUGUGAAAUCUAUGGGCUUAACUCAUAAA